CGCGCUCGCCACAACGAGAGAAAGCCCGCACGCAGCAAUGAAGACCCAAUGCAGCCAAAAAAACAAAUUAAUUAAUUUUUUUUAAAAAAGUAGUUUUGUGGAAUGAGGAGUGUUCUGGGCGGAGGGAACAGGAAAAGAAACGUGGGUGGUUGGGCACGUGUGACCCAGGGGACUAUCAGGGUCACAGCGUGCUGGUCUGAGAGGGCUGCGUCUAGCUCCCAAGUUAAGGUUCGUGUUGGAAUCCGGGGUGUGCGGUUACUCCGCCUCCCGGAGUGGGGGAUGAUGUGGUGGAGGAAGGCCUGGCAGCCUUCUGCACAGAGUGGUCGGGCACCAUCUGCCUGCCCGGCACCGAGGCCAGAGCCCCACGACAGACAGGAAUGCAGGCUAUGGACACAGACGCUGGGCCCAGUGUGGAGGGGAAGCAUUGUUCCCCAUCCUUGAAGCCACUCGGAGGCCCUGGGUCAGAGGCAGGAUCCCCAAGGUUCCAACCUGGAUGCAGACCUCUGCCUGCAGGAGGCCAGAACCUCUGUGCUGAGGGCUGACGCCCUGUCCCGCUGGGAUGGUGCGCUUUCCCGCCAGCCGCUUUGCUGGGCAGAGCGCUGGCUUCAGGACUUACCCUCUCUGGCCUCAAGCCCCAGUGUGCAGAGGACCCGUGCCGUUCUGGGCUGUGGGUCUGCACAGAAGCCCUUUCCUGGGAGCUGGGAUGCCAGCGGCUCUUUCCCCAUUUCCAAGCCCCUGCGCUGUGUCCGUGCUGCUCUGUUCACCUCAGAUAACUUCUCGGCUUAGCCUCCACCCUGCUGGGCUGCGCUCCACAGCUGGAGCAAUGGUUCCUUCCCCAGGGCCCACGUGUUGGCCUGGGGUGUGAGCUGGAGUGAGGAAGUAAGGAACGGGGACUCAGGUCUCUGGUAGGGGCUGAGGGGGAUUCCGAAGGAGUCUGCACUCGUCUCUCUCAGUCUGUUUUCCUCCUUUGUAAACAGGAGAUGGUGACUGCCCCAUCUGCCUCCCUCCCAGAGCAGCUGUGUGGCUCAGGGGAGAGAAUUCGCUGAAAGGAGCUUUGAUUAGUGUAAACGCUAUGUAGGCCUAAGGCAGUGAUUCUCAGUCCUGGCUCUGGCUCUGAAUUAGAAUCACCAGGAGAGUUUAAGGGAAAAAAAUCAACGCUGUCCCUAACGCAGAGAUCGAGAUCCUGAUUUCGUGGGUCAGUGGUGGGGCUUAGGCUAAUAUGAAUUCUCCAAAUGAUCCUUGGACUCAGUGAGGGUCUAAGAGAUCCUAAACUCUCUCUAGAAGUGAAGGGGGCCCAGAAUCCUUCUUCCUUCCUCUCCUCUCAUGCUGACCAUAUAAUGUCGCGUAGGGGAGGAAGCUGUGGGUGGCCCUUUCUCUCUGGCAGCUUCCUGGAACUGUGCCCAGGUCAUGCCACCACCAUGACCUCAGCUGGCUGCAGGGUGGCAGCGUGGAAAUUGCGUGCGGUCAGGCUGCACCAGCUCCCAGUCUGGGCUCAGGCCAGGCUCUGCCUGAGCAAAUGAUAUUUAGCAAGUGACAUCACCUGACUGGACUUUCAAAUCACUCAUCUGUGAAAUGAGAAUGACAACAUAGAAGAGUUUGUAACUAUAAAAGAACACAUGCUCACACAUGCUCACACAUGCUUAGCAGUGUCUGCACAUCUGAGGCCCUCAAUGGCAGCCCAUGAGAAAGCUCAAACCCUCCUCUAUCCUGUGUUGCUGGUGCCAUUAUGUGUGGGAUCCUAAGGCAUUUGUAUCCCCCUGCCAGAGGGCCAGGCCCUAGUGAUGGGCACACGUGGAAUCCCAACAAAAGCCCUACAAGGGAGGAUGUUUGGUUUCACUGUCCCCUUCUACAGAGAUGCUGAGACCUUGCUCAAGGCUGCUCAGACCAUCCGUUCAGGGCUCAUUCAUCCCGGGAUCCUCAACAGCCCCUCAUUCAGCCACCCAGGGAACCCCCAUUUCCCCACGACCUGGGUGCCAAGAAAUUGUACCACCCAUGCUGCACAGGGAUUGAAAAUGUCUGAAUGUGGGGGAAAGAUGAAGGGAAGCAGCACAGGCUAGAGAGAGAGAAAGAAGAGAGUGGCAAGGGCUGGAGCGAGUGGGGGUCCUGCCAGGAGCUGGAAACGUUCCGGUGCCUGGAGCUGAGGGGGGCAUUGGGAAUGACUCACAGCCCACCAGUGACCAAGAUCUAAGACCUGGUUUCUGAGCCAAGCUCUGCCUCUAAACUACCCUGUGAUCUCAGCAGAUGGCUUCCCCUUCCAAUGCCUCAGCUUUCUUACCUGUCAUAUGGGAAUAUUGGAUCACAUCACUGUUUUUCAAGCUGCCAGUUGUCACCCAUUAGCAAGUUGUGAGAUCAGUUUAGUGGAUUGUCAUCAGCAAAUAAAAAGAAAAAAAAAACCAGAAAAUAUCAGUGCAUUGUACAUAGUAAGGGUUAGUAUUUUUUUGUGAAACUUUACGUCAAUCAUAGACCCAUGUGUGUAAGCAAUGUACAAAAUGUAUUUCUGUAUUAAUGAAGUCUCUAACAAAAAGCUUGAAGACACUUGGCUAGAUGACUUUUAAUAUAUCUCUCAGCCCUAAUUAACUCUAGAAAUCUGUAAGAUUAAAAAAAAUCUUAGUCUAGAGAAGAGACCUAGGGAAUAGGGUCUGGGCCGGUGGGGAAGACGCAGCCCCUAGAGUAUCAUUAUGUGAUGGGCACCUGCCAGCAGCUCUCUGUGGUCCUCCCGGAAACAGCAAGUGAAAACCCCAGUCCCACACCUGCAACCAAGUCAUCCUCCCCACCUGCUGCAGGUGACUCGAUUACAGAGCCCAGCUGAUAAGGAUGGAGACGGUUGCCUAGUGAGCCCGCUUUCACAAUCUGGAAUCUGUUCUGUGCUUCUCAUGUUACCCCUGCCAAAGGUGGACCACAGAAGAAGGGGAGGUUACA